UAACCGGAUUCCCCUAUAACGGCGAGUGAAGAGGGAAAAGCCCAGCACCGAAGCCUGCGGUAGGUUUGCUGUUAGGCAAUGUGGUGUUUGGGUCGGCUCGUGGGAUCACCACUCCACUCGAAGUCCAGCAUUGAGUAUGGUUUCUGGAUUUGGCCCAGAGAGGGUGAAAGGCCCGUACGGGUGGAGUAUCAGACAUGUGAGGUGGUUCACCAGGCCGGCCCUAGAGUCGGGUUGUUUGGGAAUGCAGCCCAAAGCGGGUGGUAAACUCCAUCCAAGGCUAAAUACAAGCACGAGUCCGAUAGCGAACAAGUACCGUGAGGGAAAGUUGAAAAGUACUCUGAAGAGAGAGUAAACAGUACGUGAAACCGCAUGCAGGUAAACGGGUGGCGUCAAGCUGCAGGCCCAGAGGAUUCAGUCGGCUAGGGUGUUGUGUAUGCGCCUGGCGCAUCUAUCAGUCGGAGUUAGAUUGGGUAGUCCACUGGUAGACAGUGGGGCCUGGCCGCAAGGUCGGGUCAUGUGUACCGGGUGGGUGCCGGAGCAUGCUAUCCGUCUGUGGACUGUCUGGCCGAUGCACUUUCUCUGUGGUCAACACCACGACCGGUGGUAUUGCCAGUCUGCUGUGUCCAAGUCGCACUCGGUUGGGUCCUCGUGGCCUACUGGGUGCGAUCACAGGCAAACUCAGUGAACGGCGCAGAGGUGUUUCGGCACUUCUGUGUGCUAUCGGCCACUGGUUGUCAACGGGCCUGCCCGAUGUUUGUUGUAGCCGACAUUGGGUGGUCCGGUGGGGCAUGGUGGUAAGAAUAACUGUGCAAGGCACCGGGGUUGUCGGCCUCAAUUGCACUUCCUGCACCCGCGCUACAAGUGUCGUGUCCCCCCCAAUGUCGUUGGUGCCUGCCCGGUGCUGGGUGUGAUUGGCGUGUUGCCUGCGCAAAGUAGGCCCGCCAGUGGCUCGGUCCGGGAUGGGCAGUUGGCGGUGUUGGGUGUGUGUGUGGGGUGUUGUGGGCCAAACAGUCUGUGGUGUCGUGGUAGACCAGCCACCCGACCCGUCUUGAAACACGGACCAAGGAGUUUAACAUGUAUGCAAGUCAAUGGGCCCUACGAAACCCAAAGGCGCAGUGAAAGUGAAGCUCCGGCUCUGUCCCGGGGUGAGGUGAGAUCCUGCUGUUUCUCGCACCAGCCUAAUGCCAGCAUCAGGCUAAGAGCAGUGGGCGCAUCACCGGCCCGUCCCAUGAUGUGGUCAUUGGAUGUCUGCGGUCAUUGUUGCCUGCCCCCGCGGCGGCAGCGGUGGUCGUGGUGCCAGUGCGUCAUCGGGGC
rnacentral:rRNA from 1 species